rnacentral:rRNA from 1 species
GCAUAUCAAUAAGCGGAGGAAAAGAAACCAACAGGGAUUGCCCUAGUAACGGCGAGUGAAGCGGCAACAGCUCAAAUUUGAAAUCUGGCUUCGGCCCGAGUUGUAAUUUGCAGAGGAAGCUUUAGGCGCGGCACCUUCUGAGUCCCCUGGAACGGGGCGCCACAGAGGGUGAGAGCCCCGUAUAGUUGGAUGCCUAGCCUGUGUAAAGCUCCUUCGACGAGUCGAGUAGUUUGGGAAUGCUGCUCAAAAUGGGAGGUAAAUUUCUUCUAAAGCUAAAUACCGGCCAGAGACCGAUAGCGCACAAGUAGAGUGAUCGAAAGAUGAAAAGCACUUUGAAAAGAGGGUUAAAUAGCACGUGAAAUUGUUGAAAGGGAAGCGCUUGUGACCAGACUUGCGCCGGGCGGAUCAUCCGGUGUUCUCACCGGUGCACUCCGCCCGGCUCAGGCCAGCAUCGGUUCUCGCGGGGGGAUAAAGGCCCAGGGAACGUAGCUCCUCCGGGAGUGUUAUAGCCCGGGGCGUAAUGCCCUCGCGGGGACCGAGGACCGCGCUCUGCAAGGAUG